rnacentral:ncRNA from 1 species
CUUUGCAAUCGCGGGAGCUCGGAGCACCGGGCUGAGAGGGCGCUGACCUUCGUCCCGGCGGCGUUUCACGUGAAACGCCCAUGGACGAAAUCCGCUGCGUCGACCGCUGAACCUGUUACCGGGUAAUGCCGGCGUAGGGAGUUGGGUCUCAUGACUC